rnacentral:rRNA from 1 species
UACGUAGGGGGCGAGCGUUGUCCGGAUUUAUUGGGCGUAAAGAGCUCGUAGGCGGUCUGUCGCGUCUGCUGUGAAAACUCGGGGCUUAACCCCGGGCCUGCAGUGGGUACGGGCAGACUAGAGUGCGGUAGGGGAGACUGGAAUUCCUGGUGUAGCGGUGGAAUGCGCAGAUAUCAGGAGGAACACCGGUGGCGAAGGCGGGUCUCUGGGACGGUACUGACGCUGAGACGCGAAAGCGUGGGGAGCGAACAGG